rnacentral:rRNA from 1 species
AAAUUGAAGAGUUUGAUCAUGGCUCAGAUUGAACGCUGGCGGCAGGCCUAACACAUGCAAGUCGAACGGUAACAGGGAUCAGCUUGCUGAUUUGCUGACGAGUGGCGGACGGGUGAGUAAUGUCUGGGAAACUGCCUGAUGGAGGGGGAUAACUACUGGAAACGGUAGCUAAUACCGCAUAACGUCGCAAGACCAAAGAGGGGGACCUUCGGGCCUCUUGCCAUCGGAUGUGCCCAGAUGGGAUUAGCUAGUAGGUGGGGUAACGGCUCACCUAGGCGACGAUCCCUAGCUGGUCUGAGAGGAUGACCAGCCACACUGGAACUGAGACACGGUCCAGACUCCUACGGGAGGCAGCAG